rnacentral:rRNA from 1 species
CCUACGGGAGGCAGCAGUGGGGAAUAUUGCACAAUGGGCGCAAGCCUGAUGCAGCCAUGCCGCGUGUAUGAAGAAGGCCUUCGGGUUGUAAAGUACUUUCAGUCGUGAGGAAGGUAGUGUAGUUAAUAGCUGCAUUAUUUGACGUUAGCGACAGAAGAAGCACCGGCUAACUCCGUGCCAGCAGCCGCGGUAAU